rnacentral:rRNA from 1 species
CGGCUGCCUUACACAUGCAAGUCGAACGGCAGCACGGGUGCUUGCACCUGGUGGCGAGUGGCGAACGGGUGAGUAAUACAUCKGAACAUGUCCUGUAGUGGGGGAUAGCCCGGCGAAGGCCGGAUUAAUACCGCAYACGAUCUACGGAUGAAAGCGGGGGACCUUCGGGCCUCGCGCUAUAGGGUUGGCCGAUGGCUGAUUARCUAGUUGGUGGGGUAAAGGCCUACCAAGGCGACMAUCARUAGCUGGUCUGAGAGGACGACCAGCCACACUGGGACUGAGACACGGCCCAGACUCCUACSGGAGGCAGCAGUGGGGAAUUUUGGACAAUGGGCGAAAGCCUGAUCCAGCMAUGCCKCGUGUGUGAAGAAGGCCUUCGGGUUGUAAAGCACUUUUGUCCGGAAAGAAAUCCUUGRCUCUAAUACAGUCGGGGGAUGACGGUACCGGAAGAAUAAGCACCGGCAAACUACGUGCCAGCAGCCGCSGSUAAUACA